rnacentral:rRNA from 1 species
CUAACUGGAGGACCGAACCGACUAAUGUUGAAAAAUUAGCGGAUGACUUGUGGCUGGGGGUGAAAGGCCAAUCAAACCGGGAGAUAGCUGGUUCUCCCCGAAAGCUAUUUAGGUAGCGCCUCGUGAACUCAUCUUCGGGGGUAGAGCACUGUUUCGGCUAGGGGGUCAUCCCGACUUACCAACCCGAUGCAAACUACGAAUACCGAAGAAUGUUAUCACGGGAGACACACGGCGGGUGCUAACGUCCGUCGUGAAGAGGGAAACAACCCAGACCGCCAGCUAAGGUCCCAAAGUCAUGGUUAAGUGGGAAACGAUGUGGGAAGGCACAGACAGCCAGGAUGUUGGCUUAGAAGCAGCCAUCAUUUAAAGAAAGCGUAAUAGCUCACUGGUCGAGUCGGCCUGCGCGGAAGAUGUAACGGGGCUAAACCAUGCACCGAAGCUGCGGCAGCGACACUUAUGUGUUGUUGGGUAGGGGAGCGUUCUGUAAGCCUGCGAAGGUGGCCUGUGAGGGUUGCUGGAGGUAUCAGAAGUGCGAAUGCUGACAUAAGUAACGAUAAAGCGGGUGAAAAGCCCGCUCGCCGGAAGACCAAGGGUUCCUGUCCAACGUUAAUCGGGGCAGGGUGAGUCGACCCCUAAGGC